UUUUCCAGGAAGGAGGGCUUAUAGGCACCACAUGAAUUGUAAAUUGUUGUGGUUUUGAGUCAACCACGUGUCAAUGACUUUAUUUAUGUAAGAGUGACUUGACUUGUUCGCAAAUUCCAUGUAAUGAAAUUAAUUUACAGACUAUCUGAACUCUGAAGCAACCACCGAAGUUGCAUAUAUCAAGGCUUGAACUGCUUUGUUGACAUAAAACUUUGCAGAGUUUCUGGCGUAAUUUGGCCUAAUGACAUUUUGGCUAUGUAUAUAUGUGGGAGCAUCAUGAGCUGUACAUUGUUGAUGGAGCAUUCAAAGAAUGUAUUUCAUUAGUUGAUGGAGUACUCAUGAGGAAGCUCCAUCCCUAGCUCCAUUAUCGAUCAGACCUCCCUGGAAGUUGGAAGCCUCUGAUCCAGCUCACAAUCAAUGAUAGGGAGUAGUUUUACCCUAUCUCUAUAUAACUCCAUUGAUCUAUAUAUGUGUAUAUAUAUAGUUGAAGUGUUUGUGAAUAGGCUUCACUCUUUGGUUUAUACACUCAAUACUCCUUUUAUUUGGUUGUCAGCUAGCUUUGUAAAAUUAAUUGUUCAUGUAUAAAAUUCUAUGUAUAUAUGAUCACCAUUAAUUAUUAAAUACUCACUUUAUA